rnacentral:rRNA from 1 species
GCGGCAAAAGCUCAAAUUUGAAAUCUAGCACCUUCGGUGUUUGAGUUGUAAUUUGAAGAUGGUAACCUUGGGUUUGGCUCUUGUCUAUGUUCCUUGGAACAGGACGUCAUAGAGGGUGAGAAUCCCGUCUGAUGAGAUGCCCAUUCCUAUGUAAGGUGCUAUCGAAGAGUCGAGUUGUUUGGGAAUGCAGCUCUAAGUGGGUGGUAAAUUCCAUCUAAAGCUAAAUAUUGGCGAGAGACCGAUAGCGAACAAGUACAGUGAUGGAAAGAUGAAAAGAACUUUGAAAAGAGAGUGAAAAAGUACGUGAAAUUGUUGAAAGGGAAGGGCAUUAGAUCAGACUUGGUGUUUUACGAUUAUCUUCUCUUCUUGAGUUGUGCACUCGUAUUUCACUGGGCCAGCAUCGAUUCGGAUGGCAAGAUAAUGGCAGUUGAAUGUGGCUUCACUUCGGUGGAGUGUUAUAGCUUCUGCUGAUAUUGCCUGUCUGGAUCGAGGGCUGCGUCUUUUGACUAGGAUGCUGGCGUAAUGAUCUAAUGCCGCCCGUCUUGAA